CUCUAUGGCCACACCACUCUGAAUAUACUUGAUCUCAUCUGAUUUUGAAAGAUAAGCAACGUCAUUUCUGCUUAGCACUUCUAUGGAAGACUGGCUUGGGAUAGAUGAAUUGUCCUCAAGU
rnacentral:rRNA from 1 species